rnacentral:rRNA from 1 species
UUGCCUGGCGGCAAUAGCGCGGUGGUCCCACCUGACCCCAUGCCGAACUCAGAAGUGAAACGCCGUAGCGCCGAUGGUAGUGUGGGGUCUCCCCAUGCGAGAGUAGGACACUGCCAGGCAUC